rnacentral:rRNA from 1 species
GACGAACGCUGGCGGCGUGCUUAACACAUGCAAGUCGAACGGAAAGGCCCUGCUUUUGUGGGGUGCUCGAGUGGCGAACGGGUGAGUAACACGUGAGUAACCUGCCCUUGACUUUGGGAGAACUUCAGGAAACUGGGGCUAAUACCGGAUAGGAGCUCCUGCUGCAUGGUGGGGGUUGGAAAGUUUCGGCGGUUGGGGAUGGACUCGCGGCUUAUGAGCUUGUUGGUGGGGUAGUGGUUUACCAAGGCUUUGACGGGUAGCCGGCAUGAGAGGGUGAACGGCCACCUUGGGCCUGCGAGACGGCCCAGACUCCUACGGGAGGCAGCAGUGGGGAAUAUUGCACAAUGGGCCGAAGCCUGAUGCAGCAACGCUGCGUGCGGGAUGCCGGCCUUCGGGUUGUAAACCGCUUUCGCCUGUGACGAAGCGUGAGUGACGGUAAUGGGUAAAGAAGCACCGGCUAACUACGUG